UACGUAGGGGGCUAGCGUUGUCCGGAAUCAUUGGGCGUAAAGCGCGCGUAGGCGGCCAGAUAAGUCCGGUGUGAAAGUCACAGGCUCAACCUGUGAAUGCCGCUGGAAACUGUCUGGCUCGAGUCCGGGAGGGGCGAGUGGAAUUCCUGGUGUAGCGGUGAAAUGCGCAGAUAUCAGGAGGAACACCAAUGGCGAAGGCAGCUCGCUGGAACGGUACUGACGCUGAGACGCGAAAGCGUGGGGAGCGAACAGG
rnacentral:rRNA from 1 species